rnacentral:rRNA from 1 species
UACGUAGGUGGCAAGCGUUGUCCGGAUUUACUGGGCGUAAAGAGCGCGCAGGCGGUCGUUCAAGUCGCGUGUGAAAGCCCCCGGCUCAACUGGGGAGGGUCACGCGAUACUGAUCGACUCGAAGGCAGGAGAGGGUAGUGGAAUUCCCGGUGUAGUGGUGAAAUGCGUAGAUAUCGGGAGGAACACCAGUGGCGAAGGCGGCUCACUGGCCCGGUACUGACGCUGAGGCGCGAAAGCGUGGGGAGCAAACAGG